CGCAGUGUAGCUCAGAUAUUGGCAGAGCGUUGGGCUUCUAACCCAAAGGUCACAGGUUCAAAUCCUGUCACUGCAACCA
rnacentral:tRNA from 1 species